UACGUACUGUGCGACCGUUAUUCGGAUUCACUGGGUUUAAAGGGUGCGUAGGUGGGCAAGUAAGUCAGUGGUGAAAUCUCCGGGCUUAACCCGGAAACUGCCAUUGAUACUAUUUGUCUUGAAUACUGUGGAGGUCAGCGGAAUAUGUCAUGUAGCGGUGAAAUGCUUAGAUAUGACAUAGAACACCAAUUGCGAAGGCAGCUGGCUACACAAAUAUUGACACUGAGGCACGAAAGCGUGGGGAUCAAACAGG
rnacentral:rRNA from 1 species